UCAAGUGUGUGUUGGAGUUCCAACACUUGAUUAAUAAGUCGUGUUUUUUCCUCCAGUUCCACCUGAUUUUCAGCAUCAACUGCUUACAUGUCAGGAUUCAUCUCUU